rnacentral:rRNA from 1 species
AUUGAACGCUGGCGGCAGGCCUAACACAUGCAAGUCGAGCGGAUGAGGGGAGCUUGCUCUCUGAUUCAGCGGCGGACGGGUGAGUAAUGCCUAGGAAUCUGCCUGGUAGUGGGGGACAACGUUUCGAAAGGAGCGCCAAUACCGCAUACGUCCUACGGGAGAAAGCAGGGGACCUUCGGGCCUUGCGCUAUCAGAUGAGCCUAGGUCGGAUUAGCUAGUUGGUGGGGUAAAGGCUCACCAAGGCGACGAUCCGUAACUGGUCUGAGAGGAUGAUCAGUCACACUGGAACUGAGACACGGUCCAGACUCCUACGGGAGGCAGCAGUGGGGAAUAGUGGACAAUGGGCGAAAGCCUGAUCCAGCCAUGCCGCGUGUGUGAAGAAGGUCUUCGGAUUGUAAAGCACUUUAAGUUGGGAGGAAGGGCAGUAAGUUAAUACCUUGCUGUUUUGACGUUACCGACAGAAUAAGCACCGGCUAACUUCGUGCCAGCCGCCGCAGUAAUAC